AGCGAACGCUGGCGGCAGGCCUAACACAUGCAAGUCGAGCGCCCCGCAAGGGGAGCGGCAGACGGGAGAGUGACACGUGGGAACGUACCCUUUGGUUCGGAACAACCCAGGGAAACUUGGGCUAAUACCGAAUAAGCCCUUACGGGGAAAGAUUUAUCGCCGAAGGAUCGGCCCGCGUCUGAUUAGCUAGUUGGUGAGGUAACGGCUCACCAAGGCGACGAUCAGUAGCUGGUCUGAGAGGAUGAUCAGCCUCACUGGGACUGAGACACGGCCCAGACUCCUACGGGAGGCAGCAGUCGGGAAUUUUGCUCAAUGGGCGAAAGCCUGAAGCAGCAACGCCGCGUGAGGGAUGACGGCCUUCGGGUUGUAAACCUCUUUUCUCAGGGACGAUGAUGACGGUACCUGAGGAAUAAGCCACGGCUAACUACGUGCCAGCCGCCGCCGUAACAC
rnacentral:rRNA from 1 species